UGCAAAAAGCAUAACUUGUUGCUCAGCCAAACCGAUUCCACAACCAAAAAAAACUAAUCGGUCAUUUUUGUCAUCAUACAAUUCAUUUCUGAAACAGAGAUUUUUUUUUGGUCCACAAGUUUUGGGAAAAUAUAAAGUGUUAAUGCCUUUUAUAAUAGAAAACCGCUAGAACGCAUACUUUACGCGAGUGGCUCAAAAUGCCAUUGGUCAGAACUGGUCAAGUGACUCCAAUGACGCAGCAGGCUCAGUAAGAUCCAGGGUGUUCUACCAAAUACAUGGAGAAAACCCACCAGCGUUUGCACUUGAAGGGGAGAGACCCUGUACGGUUGUCUGCAGCGUGGGAAACGUUUUGCACGGUCAGAGAAAAUUUCACACACAAGGCAGGCACUGGAAGAAGUACUGUUAUGCUACAAGGGGGGAGAAAAAAGGAAAUAAAUUGCAUGUAUUAAC